GAAGGAGUCUGGAGGAAAAAAUAAAUAAAAACGCAAGAAAUAAUUUCAAUGCCUCGCACGCUCAACACGGAAACGAAGAAGAUUCGGGUUCCACCAAAUGGCCGACGAACUCUGCCUCCUACAAUCUUCAAGCACAAAUCUAUUCGAAAAAGCUGAUGCUUCUACGAAAAUGAAAAUGAAAAAUCUCUCCCUCGCAUGACGCUGGGUCAAUGAUUUUCUGACGAUGUUAAAUCCACAUGAUCGAUUUGUCGCAUAAUAUGUGAACCAAAAUAUUCUUGAUUCCUUUGAUUUGAGUUGUUCGAUCCAGGAUCAUUCCGACAUGGAAUAUUUGGGACGAUGUCACUUUUUUUUGUUCUAUCUGACGUUAUGGACGUAUCAGAAUAAUUAUUUUACACACGCAUGAUCCACACACCCAGAUACCAAUCCUGUGAUAAUUACGUUCAUCUAAUCACCUUCUUCAACUCUGGUGGGGACGUCUAUUUUUGGUAACAGUCAGCGAAUGGUCCAUACAACGAAGAGUAAUAUCAUCAUAGGAGUAAAAGCCUCAUUGGGGUUGGGCUGGAGACACAAUCCGAGAAUGUUAUAUUAUUAUAUGGUGAAGCUUUCAACCUGGUGACUUCAAUCGUAAUCAUGAGGUAAUGAAAUUUGUUAUCAGUCACCACCUUCGCGCAGUGAUAAUGUAAUCGAUGGACGAUGAUGAGACAUUCGGUCCAUAAAUUAUUGCGAACGAAGCUUGCACAUCGUAAAUAUUCACACUAACUUCCUUCGGCGUUAUUCUAUAUAGAUAUAUUUGUAUAAUUAUAGGCGUCACAAUAGCCAUUCAUUAAAGUUAUUAUUCGUUAUUAUUCUUCCAUCAUCUUACAUAAAUAUGAAUGUAGAUUCGAAGAACUUCACAGCAUUGUUUGCGAAAUGGUGUCAGUCCUUGGAACAAAUAUAUAUAAAAAGAAAGAAUAAAUGCAAGAAUAAAAAUUGCUUGCAAUUCUAGUAAUUGAUUGGAACAUCAAUAAACAUGGAACUACAUAGUAUCUUAUAACAAGAUAGGUGAAAUUAGCCAGUGAAGAGAUUCAGCAGAUAAUAUUGCGCUGAUAUGUGAUCGGUGUGAAAAUAAAUUUUUCUAAUCAGGUGAUCAAAAAAACAAGAAAUUUUUUAAAAAUACAACUUACAGGACCUUGAACGUGUUUCGUAACUUAUAUAAAAUAACCGCCACACCAGAAACAAAAUUAAUCGCGGAUCAUCAAUCUUUUUCAAAUAUCCCUUCCUUACAUAACGAAAUUUUAAUGUACGUUGAACUACAAAUUAUAUCUCGCGAUUAUUUAAGCCUCCAUUGACGUCUACAGUUUCGUUCUUAAAAACCUAGACAUCAUAUUUUCAAUUCUAAUAACUACGUUCUACAUUAUAAUCUGAGCAAACAAUUUUCAACUCAUAUUUUAUCGGCGUCUGUAUUUUCAAGCUGACGCUAAUUCAAAUAUACAAUGUACAAAAAACAGGAUGUACGAUAUAUGUACAUAGUUUUUAAAAUUUCUUCAAUAUCUACAUCGGUGAAUAUAUUUUACGAACCUGGCCAAGUUACUUUCAUUCUAAAGGUUCGCUAAUCUACGUCCAUCCAACCAUUAAUCUAAGUUGACGUGUAUAUAACAUUCUUCCUGAGUCAAGUUCACGUUCGAACUAAAGGUGCUUGGUAAUCAUCAGAAUUCAACGUACAUGCUAUACAACGAUAAUGCAGUGACCUCAACCUUGACGAAUGAAUACGCAUAAUGAACAAACAUUUUAGCAACGCAUGCGUCAAUACCUUUCAGAAAAAUUCUGUGUGCCAGCGAUAAUCCUUCGUGAAAAUUUGGACUCUCGAGAUUCUCUGCAUCUCAUUAUAUGUGUUAGAUUUCUACCAUCGUCAAUCUUAAAAUAUCAAAUCAGAUCUAAUGAAUUUCCUACCAUGGAUCGUUUUAAUUUGCCACUAUGAGCUCCUGUUGGCAAGGACUUACGUUAAAAGGAGCAUUCGGUUAACUCUCUAGGGGUCACCAGGUCCGAGUAACGGUGAAACUACUUCGGGAGGCUCUACAUACGAUAAGCCAAAGAUACGGAUCUCACGUCACGUCAAACCGCCUUAGAAAUUUAAUUUUAUUGUUCCGAUUAUAUUGGACCACAUUCGAAGGAACCUCAAUCCUUUGAUCCUUUGACGUUUGCGUAGGUAACGGUAAAUAUUAAUCAGAGUUAUAAAUGGUGAUUAAUUAGAUUGAAAUAGUAAGCAUAAUUUUGUUUCCAAUUUAUUAUCAAGAAAAAAAUCAUUCUGUUCCAACAACCGGUGGAGGUGAAUCGAAAUUCCCCAAACAUUUAUACAUAAAAUACUUAUACAAAUAUAUGCAGUGUUUAUUUAGCGUAGAUAUUAUUUAUCCUAGAUCCAAUAAAUCGUGUUUUCUUUUAUUAUAUUUCGUUCAGAUUGGAUCUCGUAGAACGGUUACAUUUCAGGAAUUUCA